CUACGGGCCGCACCAGUGAGGAAUAUUGGUCAAUGGGCGCAAGCCUGAACCAGCCAUCCCGCGUGGAGGAAGACGGCCCUAUGGGUUGUAAACUCCUUUUAUAAGGGAAGAAUAUACGUAUCGUGAUAUGUUUUGACGGUACCUUAUGAAUAAGCAUCGGCUAACUCCGUGCCAGCAGCCGCGGUAAUACGGAGGAUGCAAGCGUUAUCCGGAUUCAUUGGGUUUAAAGGGUGCGCAGGCGGACCAAUAAGUCAGUGGUGAAAUCUUACGGCUCAACCGUGAAACUGCCAUUGAUACUGUUAGUCUUGAGUACGGCUGAGGUAGGCGGAAUGUGUAAUGUAGCGGUGAAAUGCUUAGAUAUUACACAGAACACCAAUUGCGUAGGCAGCUUACUAGACCGUAACUGACGCUGAGGCACGAAAGCGUGGGUAGCGAACAGGAUUAGAUACCCGAGUAGUC
rnacentral:rRNA from 1 species